ensembl:lncRNA
CGUGCUCAGCGUACGUAGCCGCUCCUCCUGUGGAGCCGCUGCUGUGAAUGGUGAGGAGGACGGAAUAAAGAGCUGUCUGCUGUCACCGAACGGUUAAGAAGGCACCAAAGCAGGAACUUAAGACGGCACAUCCGGUGUGGAAGGUGAAAAAAUACCAGAGUUCACCCCACCCACAGCACCCUUUUGGCUGAGGAACCUGAAGAGCCUGUCUGAGCCUGCCACAAACAGCAGGCGCAGUGAAGACAGACCUGUACUGUGCAAUGGCGCUGUUGACCCUUCACAGGAUCCCAUCUAUCUCCACUGCUCCAUUGCGUAACAGGUAACGUUACUGUCUCAAGUUUCUCUCUGUGUAAACCCUUGGUUCCACUGCCACUUCUCUCUUGUUUCUUUCUCC